GAGUAAUGUCUGGGAAACUGCCUGAUGGAGGGGGAGUAACUACUGGAAACGGUAGCUAAUACCGCAUAACGUCGCAAGACCAAAGAGGGGGGACCUUCGGGCCUCUUGCCAUCGGAUGUGCCCAGAUGGGAUUAGCUAGUAGGUGGGGUAACGGCUCACCUAGGCGACGAUCCCUAGCUGGUCUGAGAGGAUGACCAGCCACACUGGAACUGAGACACGGUCCAGACUCCUACGGGAGGCAGCAUG
rnacentral:rRNA from 1 species